rnacentral:rRNA from 1 species
UACGAAGGGGGCUAGCGUUGUUCGGAAUCACUGGGCGUAAAGCGCACGUAGGCGGAUUUUUAAGUCAGGGGUGAAAUCCCGAGGCUCAACCUCGGAACUGCCUUUGAUACUGGAGAUCUUGAGUCCGGAAGAGGUAAGUGGAACUGCGAGCGUAGAGGUGAAAUUCGUAGAUAUUCGCAAGAACACCAGUGGCGAAGGCGGCUUACUGGUCCGGAACUGACGCUGAGGUGCGAAAGCGUGGGGAGCAAACAGG